CCUGGUGUCCACUGUGCCGAGGUUAAGGUGGGAUUCCUUCGGGCGUGUAGACGAUCCACGCCGCCCAGUUUAGCUAGGCUUCCCGCCUGGUGUCCACUGUGCCGAGGUUUAGGUGGGAUUCCUUCGGGCGUGUAGACGAUCCACGCCGCCAAGUUCAGCUAGGCUUCCCGAGCAUCCGGUGCCAGUGCUAUAAAAGGGGCCCAUUCUAUCCGGUUUGCCCAUUCCCACCUUCAACUCCGAGGCACGUCCAGCCACGAAUCACAUCGACCCACAGGCAAGCACGAGGUACCGACGCCCGAUCCUCUACACGGCGUCUGAACACUUCUGCGGUUUUCAACCUUCACCAGUGCAUACUACAUCAGAAUCAUGGCCGAAAUACCAAAGAGUCCGUUCUAUAUCAUCAGCAACAUGACUGGGCACGUGUUGAGCAUUUGUGGCCAGAGCAAGACCUCUGGGGCUAAAUUAGUCAUUGAGCCGAAGAAUACUCAAGACCCCAACUACCAAAAGUGGACCUAUGACGCAACGAAAAAGACCUUUCAAAGCCAACUGACGCCGUAUUUCGCCAUCACCCUCCAAGGAGGGACGUUUGCUACUGGCGCACCCAUCAUCAACGAGACAUACACUGCUGGACAAACCUACCAACAGUGGAAAGCUCCCUUUGAUUCAACCAUCCAGUCGGCAAACGAGAAAGGCUAUGUCAUCGGUCUUAAGGGCGGAUCGGGGGGUAGUGGAACCGAAGCCGUGCUGACAACCCGUACUUCCCAACCUGAGCCCCAUGCCAUGUGGCGUUUCGAGGAAGCC